rnacentral:lncRNA from 1 species
AACUUCCUCCUCCCGGGCUCGAGCAUUCCUCCCACCUCUGCCUCCCUAGUAGCUGGGACUACAGGCAAGAAUUAUUGUUUUUGCAUAGUACCUUUAAAAAACAUAACCUUAGAAGACCCAGUUUUAUGUUACUUUGGUGCAUCACAAUGUUUUCAAAGUACAAAAUGCAAAAUAAUUCAGUUUCAAGAUCUUUAAUAUUUGAGACACUAUUCAAGGACCAAGUCCUAAUUCCUUCUAUAUUAAUCUGCAACACUUCCCAAGUAACCCAACAAAUAUAGAGUGGAUUAAAUCACCUAGAAUAUACAUCUUCUUUUUUAAUUAGAGGCACAAAGUUCCUACUUAUAGUUAUAAUAGAUUAGGGUGAGCAUGCAUUUUGGCAACACUCAAAGCAAUUUAAAAUGAUUUAAAAGGCAAAAGAACAAAAUUACCAGAGAUGAAAUAUAUCAAAGUAAUCUAGUUGUUCAAUUUUUUAUUUAAUCAAAGGCCUCAAUUUGACUUUUUGCAUUAACUUUAAGCAGGUGAAAACUGAACAAUUCAGAAGGCCUUGGAUGAUUUAUUCAUGUUUUGCCAUGUUUAUGUAUCCAAUUUAAAUUUAAAUUUCAUGGUUAUUCAGACUACACAAUGAUAAGAAUGGACAAGCAGGUUCACUUUAGGAACUGUUGUGAGUGAUUAUGCUAACUGCUAAAAUAAAGGGAUGAAAAAUUGUGGAACAAUUGCUUGUGAAAAUAACCUAAACUAACGUUUAGAUCUGCUCUGGUACUCAACUUGCUGCCAAAUUUCCAUGAUGCUACUGACUUAACUGCCUUUGAAGAACUCUGCCAAGAGACUUCUCCUAUCUGGAGGAAGAAAACACAGGGAGACCUUUUCCAUAAGCUAAGAACAAAUCUCAAGUUAACAGGAUCCAGAUAAAAAGGUAGUAACAGCUGACAAGACUGGUGAACCGUGUGAGCUGUGAGCUUGUACAUACACACGAGGGCCAUGGCCCCCAGAUUCCAUCACGUUCAACAGUGAGGCUUGCCCUUCUUUUUCAAGCAUCUUGUGCUCAUUUUAAACAGAUGUCAGACACAAUUUUACCACACAGAUGGAACCAACCAUUUAAACUAACUUAUUCUGCCAAGUCUGUUUGGGGAAGGGCUGCGUAUCUAGAAAUGCACAUUUUGUAGUCAUAUCAUGCUUUCAACUUAAAUUCCUGCCACCCCUGACUACAGAGCGACAGUUUUUCAAUAACCAGUGAGAUAGAUUAGCAAGACAUAGCCUAUUAUCCUAAGUUUACUAGAAGUGAGAGUUUUUAUCAACACACACACACACACACACACACACACACACAGAAAAGUCUUGAAAGAUCUUCCGAGAAUGCAAUUAUACAGUAAGUUAAUUUCUUAUCCACAGAAGUAUAGCUGUAUUAACAACCCUUCCUUAAGUGGAUACACUGGAAUGCUGCCUUAGUUAUCUCAAACUGCUUUCCUGCAGUAUUUUUUGCACUUACUUUUAGUCAUUCUUCUCCAUCUACCUUCACCCCUACCAAGCCUCUGGCUCCUCCUCCUGCCUUCCUCCCACAGCACUUACACUUUCCUCUUGAACAGCAGUAAAGGCAUACAGGUCUGCAUCUGACAUGCUUGAUUUUUCAGGUGUGGCUCUCUAACACAGACCUAUAGUUGGAACCAGAAGCUUGAUAUGGUUUUAGUGAAACUUGUUCUGUGUCACAGAUAAGAAAGCUGUAUAAAGAACAUUAAGAUGAACUCAAAGACAUAGACAUAUUCUUACGUGGUUGUGCUGAGGUCUGCCAAAGAAAAACUUUGAAAGAUUGCCAAGGAAUCUGAACUUAAGUAUCAAGAGCCUUUUGUUGACUCAGUUUCGCCUCUGUUCUUUGUUGGUGGUUCGUUAAUUGAAAUUUCAUAAGUCACCCCAGGGAAAAUCUGGGGUGCAGAAAGAUGAGAUAAAGACUAAUGAUUGUGAGUGAAAUAUUGGCUGUGCUGUCUCCUCCAGUCACUUCAUUUUCUCACCAUACUGCCUCUCUUCAUUUUCUUCAUAUUUUUUCUUUUAAGUUUUUGUACAUCUCAAUCUUUAAAAGUCAAAAUUCUGUAACAUACAUAUCUUGAGGAAGUCUCAUUCUACUCCUGACUCUGUCUAUCCUGCUCCCAUCUCCAAAGGCAACUAAAAAUGUGAGACCUCUUCAUGUUUCUUGAAGUUGGUGCAAACAGUCCAAGAUUUCUUAGUUACAGAAGGGAUGGGCAUGAAGGGAUUUUAAAGGGGGCAGCAGGGAUUGGUGGGGGCUGCCUUAAGAGAGGAGCUCUUAUUCUGUGGGGAGGGAGAGGGACAGAGGUUACAGGUUAGUAUGAUUCAUUGGAUUUGAAAAGGAAUUUAAGUAUAAUUGUUGUUUCAGUCAUUAAACAUUUUACAAUUUGUUGAUGUCAUUUCCUACAUUAUGAGAAAGCAACUAAAACACACACUGGGUUCAACAUAAAUGGCUUUAUCACAUUCAGUGAGGACUGGAAAGAUCUUGUGAUUCACAAGUUGCCAAUUUAAAUUGUUAUUCACAAGAAAGAAAUCUUGGUUUGUAGCUAGUUGGCUGUAAGUCAGGCUAAAGUCCACCUGAAAAAAUGUUAAUUAAUCACAUUUUAAAAACAUCUUCACUGGAUAAAAUGUGUGUCCAGAGAAGUUUCUUGUUAUGUGGCCUUCAUCAUGGGGUUGUAAGGUCCACGAGGGCAGGGACCAAGUCUGUUUCACUAUGUGGUGUGUAUCUAGAACCACACAGUGUGCUCAAAAUGCACUAGGUACUUAACAAAUAAUCACUGAAGGGAUGAAUGACAGAAUCAGAUGGAAAUAGCCUACUGGAGAGGAAUAAACAUGGCCAUUCUUGAUAGACAUGUUGACUGAUGGACUGAGAGAUAUAGAUACAUGCCAUGAGAUCUCUUUAUGAGCAGUGGUCUUAUGGAUAUCUGCAUGACCUCUGCUGAAGUAAAAUACUGUGGUUCGUGAGAAGACGUGACCUUUGGAUACAGCUGGUCUAGUCCUGGCUCUGCUGUGUCAGUGAAAGUGGAACAGUUACAUGGCUCUCCCGAAUCUCUGUUUUCACUUGGUUAAAUGAGGGUUACAUGUACUUACUUCCAGUGUUGUUAUGAGAAUUAAAUGAGAUUAAAUGUUAAAAUUUGUGAGCGGUCAAUAUAUGUACUUCUUUUCUCCCCCUCAGUCUCUUAAGAAUAUUCUACACCAGUAUUGCAGAAUAAAGAAAAAUGGAUAUGUUAAUUUGUUUGAUAUAAUCAUUCCACAAUGUAUACAUAUAUCAGGUG